AUUGAACGCUGGCGGCAUGCCUUACACAUGCAAGUCGAACGGUAACGGGCCUUCGGGUGCCGCCGAGUGGCGAACGGGUGAGUAAUACAUCGGAACGUGCCCGAUCGUGGGGGAUAACGAGGCGAAAGCUUUGCUAAUACCGCAUACGAUCUACGGAUGAAAGCAGGGGACCGCAAGGCCUUGCGCGGACGGAGCGGCCGAUGGCGGAUUAGGUAGUUGGUGGGAUAAAAGCUUACCAAGCCGACGAUCUGUAGCUGGUCUGAGAGGAUGAUCAGCCACACUGGGACUGAGACACGGCCCAGACUCCUACGGGAGGCAGCAGUGGGGAAUUUUGGACAAUGGGCGCAAGCCUGAUCCAGCCAUGCCGCGUGCAGGAUGAAGGCCUUCGGGUUGUAAACUGCUUUUGUACGGAACGAAAAGCCUUCUUUUAAUACAGGAGGGUCAUGACGGUACCGGAAGAAUAAGCACCGGCUAACUACGUG
rnacentral:rRNA from 1 species